rnacentral:rRNA from 1 species
UGGGGAAUUUUGGACAAUGGGCGAAAGCCUGAUCCAGCAAUGCCGCGUGUGUGAAGAAGGCCUUCGGGUUGUAAAGCACUUUUGUCCGGAAAGAAAUCCUUGGCUCUAAUACAGUCGGGGGAUGACGGUACCGGAAGAAUAAGCACCAGCUAACUACGUGCCAGCAGCCGCGGUAAUACGUAGGGUGCAAGCGUUAAUCGGAAUUACUGGGCGUAAAGCGUGCGCAGGCGGUUUGCUAAGACCGAUGUGAAAUCCCCGGGCUCAACCUGGGAACUGCAUUGGUGACUGGCAGGCUAGAGUAUGGCAGAGGGGGGUAGAAUUCCACGUGUAGCAGUGAAAUGCGUAGAGAUGUGGAGGAAUACCGAUGGCGAAGGCAGCCCCCUGGGCCAAUACUGACGCUCAUGCACGAAAGCGUGGGGAGCAAACAGGAUUAGAUACCCUGGUAGUCCACGCCCUAAACGAUGUCAACUAGUUGUUGGGGAUUCAUUUCCUUAGUAACGUAGCUAACGCGUGAAGUUGACCGCCU